rnacentral:rRNA from 1 species
UACGAAGGGGGCUAGCGUUGCUCGGAAUUACUGGGCGUAAAGCGCACGUAGGCGGCUUUCUAAGUCGGGGGUGAAAUCCUGGAGCUCAACUCCAGAACUGCCUUCGAUACUGGAGAGCCCGAGUCCGGGAGAGGUGAGUGGAACUGCGAGUGUAGAGGUGAAAUUCGUAGGUAUUCGCAAGAACACCAGUGGCGAAGGCGGCUCACUGGUCCGGUACUGACGCUGAGGUGCGAAAGCGUGGGGAGCAAACAGG